AACGUAGGUGGCGAGCGUUAUCCGGAUUUACUGGGCGUAAAGCGCAUUCAGGCGGCUCAGCAAGUCGGGCAUGAAAUCUCUCGGCUCAACCGGGAGAGGCUGUCCGAUACUGUUGGGCUUGAGGGCAGUAGAGGAAGGUGGAAUUCCGCAUGUAGUGGUGAAAUGCGUAGAUAUGCGGAGGAACACCAGUGGCGAAAGCGGCCUUCUGGGCUGCUCCUGACGCUCAAAUGCGAAAGCUAGGGUAGCGAACGGG
rnacentral:rRNA from 1 species